GACGAACGCUGGCGGCGUGGAUUAGGCAUGCAAGUCGAACGGUAUCAUCCUUUCGGGGGUGAGAGAGUGGCGAACUGGUGAGUAACACGUAGGUUAUCUACCCUCAAGACGGGGACAACCCAGGGAAACUUGGGCUAAUACCGGAUGUGAGCAACUUUUAGUUGUUUGAAAGGUGGCGUAAGCUGUCGCUUGGGGAUGAGCCUGCGUCCUAUUAGUUAGUUGGUGAGGUAACGGCUCACCUAGGCAAUGAUAGGUAGGCGGCCUUAACGGGUGGUCGCCCACACUGGGAUUGAGAUACGGCCCAGACUCCUACGGGAGGCAGCAGUCGAGAAUAGUCUACAAUGGUCGGAAGACUGAUAGUGCGACGCCGCGUGAACGAUGAAUCCCUUCGGGGUUAAAGUUCUUUUAUAUGUGAGCAGUGCUUCUUAUAUUAACAGUAUGGGGAAGAGAUAUUAGCAUAUGAAUAAGCAACGGCUAACUCCGUGCCAGCAGCCGCGGU
rnacentral:rRNA from 1 species